GUGCCCAUAGCUCAGCUGGAUAGAGCAUUUGCCUUCUAAGCAAACGGUCGCAGGUUCGAAUCCUGCUGGGCAUGCCA
rnacentral:tRNA from 1 species